rnacentral:rRNA from 1 species
GUGAAAGCAGGGGAUCUUCGGACCUUGCGCGAUUGAAUGAGCCGAUGUCGGAUUAGCUAGUUGGCGGGGUAAAGGCCCACCAAGGCGACGAUCCGUAGCUGGUCUGAGAGGAUGAUCAGUCACACUGGAACUGAGACACGGUCCAGACUCCUACGGGAGGCAGCAGUGGGGAAUAUUGGACAAUGGGCUGCAAGCCUGAUCCAGCCAUACCGCGUGGGUGAAGAAGGCCUUCGGGUUGUAAAGCCCUUUAGUUGGGAAAGAAAUCCAGCUGGCUAAUACCCGGUUGGGAUGACGGUACCCAAAGAAUAAGCACCGGCUAACUUCGUGCCAGCAGCCGCGGUAAUACGAAGGGUGCAAGCGUUACUCGGAAUUACUGGGCGUAAAGCGUGCGUAGGUGGUCGUUUAAGUCCGUUGUGAAAGCCCUGGGCUCAACCUGGGAACUGCAGUGGAUACUGGGCGACUAGAAUGUGGUAGAGGGUAGCGGAAUUCCUGGUGUAGCAGUGAAAUGCGUAGAGAUCAGGAGGAACAUCCAUGGCGAAGGCAGCUACCUGGACCAACAUUGACACUGAGGCACGAAAGCGUGGGGAGCAAACAGGAUUAGAUANCCUGGUAGUCCACGCCCUAAACGAUGCGAACUGGAUGUUGGGUGCAAUUUGGCACGCAGUAUCGAAGCUAACGCGUUAAGUUCGCCGCCUGGGGAG